CUACGGGACGCAGCAGUGGGGAAUAUUGGACAAUGGGGGAAACCCUGAUCCAGCAAUGCCGCGUGUGUGAAGAAGGCCUGCGGGUUGUAAAGCACUUUCGGUUGGGAGGACUGCUUCUAGCACUAAUAUUGUUGGAAGUUGACGUUACCUUCAGAAGAAGCACCGGCUAACUCCGUGCCAGCAGCCGCGGUAAUACGGAGGGUGCAAGCGUAAUCGGAAUUACUGGGCGUAAAGCGCGCGUAGGCGGCUAGAUCAGUCGGGUGUGAAAGCCCCGGGCUUAACCUGGGAACUGCAUCCGAUACUGUCUAGCUUGAGUACAGGAGAGGAGAGUGGAAUUCCACAUGUAGCGGUGAAAUGCGUAGAUAUGUGGAGGAACACCAAUGGCGAAGGCAGCUCUCUGGCCUGAUACUGACGCUGAGGUGCGAAAGCGUGGGGAGCAAACAGGAUUAGAUACCCGGGUAGUC
rnacentral:rRNA from 1 species